AGUCUCCUGGAAUGUACGCCAGUUGGUGUCGUCCUUGAGCCGUUAGAGAAACUAAAGGAGAUUUCGGCGCUGACGCCCGUGUGCAUGUCCGACACCGUUUUUGCUCGCAAAAGCAGGCGAAUUCGGAUCGGGAAGCCUUCGACGUCGCCCGGGUCCCCGCCUUGAACCAUAACGGUUCAGGGCAAACCAAACAGCGGCAUUUUGGGAGACUU
rnacentral:other from 1 species